rnacentral:rRNA from 1 species
CCAGAAGCGGGGGAUAACACCUGGAAACAGAUGCUAAUACCGCAUAACAACUUGGACCGCAUGGUCCGAGCUUGAAAGAUGGCUUCGGCUAUCACUUUUGGAUGGUCCCGCGGCGUAUUAGCUAGAUGGUGGGGUAACGGCUCACCAUGGCAAUGAUACGUAGCCGACCUGAGAGGGUAAUCGGCCACAUUGGGACUGAGACACGGCCCAAACUCCUACGGGAGGCAGCAGUAGGGAAUCUUCCACAAUGGACGAAAGUCUGAUGGAGCAACGCCGCGUGAGUGAAGAAGGGUUUCGGCUCGUAAAACUCUGUUGUUAAAGAAGAACAUAUCUGAGAGUAACUGUUCAGGUAUUGACGGUAUUUAACCAGAAAGCCACGGCUAACUACGUGCCAGCAGCCGCGGUAAUACGUAGGUGGCAAGCGUUGUCCGGAUUUAUUGGG